rnacentral:rRNA from 1 species
AUUGAACGCUGGCGGCAUGGCUAAAACAUGCAAGUCGAACGAUCCCUUCGGGGAGAGUGGCGAAAGGGCGAGGAAUAGAAUCGAAUGUACCCCAAGGUGGGGGAUAGCCUCUGGAAACGGAGGGUAAUAUCCCAUGUGCUCUACGGAGGAAAGGUUUACCGCCUUGGGAGCAGCGAUUCUCCUAUCAGGUAGUUGGUGAGGUAACGGCUCACCAAGCCGAAGACGGGUAGCGGGUGUGAGAGCAUGACCCGCCGCAUCGGGACUGAGACACUGCCCGGACUCCUACGGGAGGCUGCAGUAACGAAUCUUCCGCAAUGGGCGAAAGCCUGACGGAGCAAUGCCGCGUGUGGGAUGAAGCAUCUUCGAUGUGUAAACCACUGUCAGGGUCUAGGAAUACUGACCAGACCCAAAGGAAGGGCCGGCUAAUUCCGUGCCAGCAGCCGCGGUAAAGUC